rnacentral:rRNA from 1 species
UGAAUACGAGACGCUAAGGCGUCGAAGUAGUGUAUGUCAUACUUCCAAGAAAAGCUUGCACUGUCAUAGAUAAAAAACGCCUGUACCAUAACCGACACAGGUGGGUAGGUAGAGUAUACUAAGGGGCGCGAGAUAACUCUCUCUAAGGAACUCGGCAAAAUAACUCCGUAACUUCGGGAGAAGGAGUGCCUUAUUCGUAAGGUUGCAAUAACAAGAUCCAAGCAACUGUUUAUCAAAAACACAGGUCUCCGCUAAGUCGUAAGACGAUGUAUGGGGGCUGACGCCUGCCCAGUGCCAGAAGGUUAAAGAAGUUGGUUAGCAAUUGCGAAGCUGAUAACUGAAGCCCUGGUGAACGGCGGCCGUAACAAUAACGGUCCUAAGGUAGCGAAAUUCCUUGUCGGGUAAGUUCCGACCCGCACGAAAGGCGUAAUGAUUUGGAUACUGUCUCGGAGAGGGGCUCGGUGAAAUAGACUUGUCUGUGAAGAUGCGGACUACCUGCACCAGGACAGAAAGACCCUAUGAAGCUUUACUGUAACUUGAAAUUGAAAUUGGACUUUAUUCGCGCAGUAUAGGUGGGAGCGUUGAUUAUAAUCUUGUGGGAUUAUUGGAGCCAUCAGUGAGAUACCACUCUUGUAAUGUUAGAUUUCUAACUUUGAAUCAUUAUCUGGUCAAAGAACAGUUUCAGGCGGGCAGUUUGACUGGGGCGGUCGCCUCCUAAACGGUAACGGAGGCGUACAAAGGUUUCCUCUGAACGGUUAGAAAUCGUAUCUAGAGUGUAAAGGCAUAAGGAAGCUUGACUGUGAGACCUACAAGUCGAGCAGGGACGAAAGUCGGUCUUAGUGAUCUGACGGUACUGAGUGGAAAGGCCGUCACUCAACGGAUAAAAGUUACUCUAGGAUAACAGGCUGAUCUCCCCCAAGAGUUCGCAUCGACGGGGAGGUUUGGCACCUCGAUGUCGGCUCAUCGCAUCCUGGGGCGGUAGUACGUCCCAAGGGUUGGGCUGUUCGCCCAUGAAAGCGGUACGCGAGCUGGGUUCAGAACGUCGUGAGACAGUUCGGUCCAUAUCCGGUGUAGGCGUUAGAAUAUUGAGAGGAGCCUUCUUUAGUACGAGAGGACCGAGAAGGACAUACCUCUGGUGUACCAGUUAUCGUGCCAACGGUAAACGCUGGGUAGCUAUGUAUGGAGUGGAUAACCGCUGAAAGCAUCUAAGUGGGAAGCCCACCUCAAGAUAAGUAUUCUCA